AACGAACGCUGGCGGCAGGCCUAACACAUGCAAGUCGAGCGCGCCCUUCGGGGUGAGCGGCGGACGGGUGAGUAACGCGUGGGAACGUGCCCUUCUCUGCGGAAUAGCCUCGGGAAACUGAGAGUAAUACCGCAUACGCCCUUUGGGGGAAAGAUUUAUCGGAGAAGGAUCGGCCCGCGUUGGAUUAGGUAGUUGGUGGGGUAAUGGCCCACCAAGCCGACGAUCCAUAGCUGGGUUGAGAGGAUGAUCAGCCACACUGGGACUGAGACACGGCCCAGCCUCCUACGGGAGGCAGCAGUGGGGAAUCUUAGACAAUGGGGGCAACCCUGAUCUAGCCAUGCCGCGUGAGUGAUGAAGGCCUUAGGGUUGUAAAGCUCUUUCAGCUGGGAAGAUAAUGACGGUACCAGCAGAAGAAGCCCCGGCUAACUCCGUG
rnacentral:rRNA from 1 species